GUUGAACGAGAAAGUAUCUUCGGAUACGAGUACAGUGGCGGACGGGUGAGUAAUACAUAGGAAUCUACCCAAUGGAGGGGGAUAGCUCGAGGAAACUCGAAUUAAUACCGCAUAAUCUCCAAGGAGUAAAGGGGGCUUCGGCUCUCGCCAUCGGAUGAGCCUAUGCAAGAUUAGCUUGUUGGUAAGGUAAUGGCUUACCAAGGCUACGAUCUUUAGCUGGUUUGAGAGGACGACCAGCCACAUCGGGACUGAGACACGGCCCGGACUUCUACGGAAGGCAGCAGUAGGGAAUAUUGGACAAUGAGCGAAAGCUUGAUCCAGCCAUGCUGCGUGUGCGAUGAAGACCUUAGGGUUGUAAAGCACUUUAGGUUAUGAGAAAAGAUUUGGUAUUAAUACCACCAAAUUUUGAUGUUAAUUUCAGAAUAAGCACUGGCUAAAUCCGUGCCAGCAGCCGCGGUAAUACGGAUGGUGCAAGCGUUAAUCGGAAUUACUGGGCGUAAAGCGCGCGUAGGUGGCCUAUCAAGUUAGAUGUGAAAUCCCGAGGCUUAACCUCGGAACUGCAUCUAAAACUGAUAAGCUAGAGUACUAGAGAGGAAAGUAGAAUU
rnacentral:rRNA from 1 species